AGUGAACGCUGGCGGUAGGCCUAACACAUGCAAGUCGAACGGCAGCACAGUAAGAGCUUGCUCUUACGGGUGGCGAGUGGCGGACGGGUGAGGAAUACAUCGGAAUCUACUUUUUCGUGGGGGAUAACGUAGGGAAACUUACGCUAAUACCGCAUACGACCUACGGGUGAAAGCAGGGGAUCUUCGGACCUUGCGCGAUUGAAUGAGCCGAUGUCGGAUUAGCUAGUUGGCGGGGUAAAGGCCCACCAAGGCGACGAUCCGUAGCUGGUCUGAGAGGAUGAUCAGCCACACUGGAAGUGAGAAACGGUACAGACUCCUACGGGAGGAAGCAGUGGGGAAUAUUGGACAAUGGGCGAAAGCCUGAUCCAGCCAUACCGCGUGGGUGAAGAAGGCCUUAGGGUUGUAAAGCCCUUUUGUUGGGAAAGAAAAGCAGCAGGUUAAUCCCCCGCUGUUCUGACGGUACCCAAAGAAUAAGCACCGGCUAACUUCGUG
rnacentral:rRNA from 1 species